CAAAAAUAAGUUGUUGUUUUUUUCACCACUAAAUUGGCACCAAUUAAUCUGAGGGUAGCUGAUAGCGAGCUCAAACUUCAUCUGACUGCAUCGAUAUGAUGUGAAGGCACGGACAAUAUACCCAGGUUUCCAGCCGAUAUUUAAAAUGCAUGCAUGCCACGAUACGACAUGAUAUGACAUGAUGCGAUGUGAUACGAUGCAACAAGAUGCGAUGACAUACGAUACACUUUAUUGUCACUUUGGGGGAAAUUUGUCUUGGACUCAAAGUGCUGCCAAACAUUCACUUAUCACUAGAAUCAAUAAUUUAAAAAAAAACAAUAGAAAAACACAUCCACAUGUAAACAGAGAGGCACACACCAAUGCAAAAUAACACAACAUAUAUUACACAAGAUCUGCAGAAACACAGCAUGAGAGAUAAGAUAUUAAAGGUCAGAGAAUAUAAAAUCAUAUAAUUACACCAUGACGUUAUUGCACGACCCACAUAGCCUUAUGAAACAUUAUUCAGGACUUUUUAAAGCGGUGCUGAGUGAAAAAGCUUCGCUCGUUUACAAAAAAGAGAUUUAUGACAACUGAUGAUUGCAAACGCUCAUAUCGCCAUAACGGUGAAAAUGGGAUUAAAUGUGCAGCCCUAGUUUCCAGUUUUAUUUUUAAUGAAAUGACGGACGACAAACCAUCACAUCACAAAAAAACAAACCCCACACACCCCUCCUGUAAACACUUUCCCAGCUAUUAAGUACCUCUGACAUCAUGUUGUUCGAUACACACACUGUGGGUUUUUUUUGUAUGUCUGUGUGUGCACGCUGUGUGCUUAUGGUGUGUGAGAGUGUGUGACAGUUACACACUCACACAUACACACACACACGCACAGAGUUCAGCCGAUUUAUCAUAAUAUGCUUUAUCUGAAAAGUAAGUAUCUUACCUCGGGAUAAAGGGAGGAAAGAGGGGUUUGUGGCCAGAUUGACAGAGGAAGGGUGGAUGGAGAGAACCGAGCGCUCGCUGCACACAGACAGAGAGCAGCACCUUCAGCUCUGAGGCUGGAUCGAUCACUAUUGAUAAGGUUAUCACGCACGUGGAGCAGCGAGAUUGGCGCUCGGAGAGACAAACGGGAGACGGGUCGAACUUCAAGGCAUCGAAAACUGAAAUCCUUUUGCGGAUCUCUUUCAUUUAACUCAAGCAGCCAGUUUACAUUGCCCUUCUGUAGUCUCAUGUCUUCAUGUUUCAAACUUGUGGUGAUGAGUCUUUUAUUGUUGUUAAACUGCAGAAAAACACUUUAACCCAUCAGGAAGGCGGUUGGCAUGGUGUUCAUGUCGGCUGAACAAUAAUCGAGAAACAUUCACGUCCAAACCAAAGAGGGGCAGGUGCUGCAGAAAUGUCCCUAAAAACAAAGAGAAAGACAGCUUGCACACUUUCGGGGCCCCAAUUUCCAGAAAAUGCGGAGUGCAUGUGUGAAAACGGCUAAAAGUUGCUCAGCAGGUGGCGCUCUGACUCUAUUGUUUCUGAUACUCUCGGCACUGUCUCCUCCACAAGUAGAGCAAUAUUAAAAACAUGCACAGUCCACAUAUUUUUUUUCAAAAUUCCAGAGUAUGAGUUCUCUAUAUUAGCUGUCAUACUUGGGAUUUUUUUCUGCCUCCUUAAUGGGCAUUAAAUAAAAAGUGCUGCAGUGUAACGCCUCAGCCUGUAAAAUGGACACAGAGAAGAAUUAAGUUAAGAGGCCUAUCAGUAUAACUUGGGAUCGUCUCGCACUAGUAGCUUUAAGGGGACUAGCGGGGCUUUUUACCGCUGCUACUGUAAGUCACUGCAACAAGCCUCUCAGCUCUAAAUCCUAAUUGUGUCUGCAAACAAACGGAGGAUCCACUAUCCGUCCAUUUCUCCUCUCAGUCCUCAAAAGUCAGGAAAUCUGUGCAGUCAGAUGAGGAUUUUUUUUAAGGAUCUGUAAAAUUAAUCGCCUUUUAUGAUUUGUUUUGGAACUUAGACCCCCAGCCUGCAGACUUACAUGACAUUUUAUUAAUUUAUUUAUUUUACAGACUUUAUAAAUCCCAGAGGGGACACUCGGGUUUACACUCUGUCACUGAAAGACAUGCUCCUCACACACAUUGGCCUGAAACACACACACACACACACACACACACACACACACACACACACACACACACACACACACACACACACACACACACACACACACACACACACACACACACACACACACACACACACACACAGACGCACAAA